rnacentral:rRNA from 1 species
GGGAUAUUGCACAAUGGAGGGAACUCUGAUGCAGCGACGCCGCGUGGGUGAAGAAGUUAUUCGUAAUGUAAAGCCCUAUCGGCAGGGAAGAUAAUGACGGUACCUGACUAAGAAGCCCCGGCUAACUACGUGCCAGCAGCCGCGGUAAUACGUAGGGGGCGAGCGUUAUCCGGAUUUACUGGGUGUAAAGGGAGCGCAGACGGGACAGCAAGCCAGAUGUGGAAGCCCCGGGCAUAACCCGGGGAGUGCAUUUGGAACUGUUGACCUUGAGUGCCGGAGGGGUAAGCGGAAUUCCCAGUGUAGCGGUGAAAUGCGUAGAUAUUGGGAAGAACACCGGUGGCGAAGGCGGCUUACUGGACGGUAACUGACGUUGAGGCUCGAAAGCGUGGGGAGCAAACA